rnacentral:rRNA from 1 species
AACGAACGCUGGCGGCAUGCCUAACACAUGCAAGUCGAACGAGACCUUCGGGUCUAGUGGCGCACGGGUGCGUAACGCGUGGGAACCUGCCCUUAGGUUCGGAAUAACUCCCCGAAAGGGGUGCUAAUACCGGAUAAUGUCUUCGGACCAAAGAUUUAUCGCCUUUGGAUGGGCCCGCGUUGGAUUAGCUAGUUGGUAGGGUAAAAGUCUACCAAGGCGACGAUCCAUAGCUGGUCUGAGAGGAUGAUCAGCCACACUGGGACUGAGACACGGCCCAGACUCCUACGGGAGGCAGCAGUGGGGAAUAUUGGACAAUGGGCGAAAGCCUGAUCCAGCAAUGCCGCGUGAGUGAUGAAGGCCUUAGGGUUGUAAAGCUCUUUUACCCGGGAUGAUAAUGACAGUACCGGGAGAAUAAGCUCCGGCUAGCUCCGUG